rnacentral:hammerhead_ribozyme from 1 species
AUCCAGCUAAUGAGUCUCAAAUAGGACGAAAAGUGUUUCCUGGAU